AGAAUCAACGCUGGCGGCGUGCCUAACACAUGCAAGUCGAACGAGAAAGGGGUAGCAAUACCCUGAGUAAAGUGGCGCACGGGUGAGUAACACGUGACUAACCUACCCUUGAGUGGGGGAUAACUGAGGGAAACCUUAGCUAAUACCGCAUAAUACCCACGGGUCAAAGGAGCAAUUCGCUCGAGGAGGGGGUCGCGGCCGAUUAGUUAGUUGGCGGGGUAAUGGCCCACCAAGACGAUGAUCGGUAUCCGGCCUGAGAGGGCGCACGGACACACUGGAACUGAAACACGGUCCAGACUCCUACGGGAGGCAGCAGUGGGGAAUUUUGCGCAAUGGGGAAACCCUGACGCAGCAACGCCGCGUGGAGGAUGAAGUCCUUCGGGACGUAAACUCCUUUCGAUCGGGACGAUUAUGACGGUACCGGAAGAAGAAGCCCCGGCUAACUUCGUGCCAGCAGCCGC
rnacentral:rRNA from 1 species